rnacentral:rRNA from 1 species
UACGGAGGGGGCUAGCGUUGUUCGGAAUUACUGGGCGUAAAGCGCACGUAGGCGGCUUUGUAAGUUAGAGGUGAAAGCCCAGGGCUCAACCCUGGAAUUGCCUUUAAGACUGCAUCGCUUGAACAUCGGAGAGGUAAGUGGAAUUCCGAGUGUAGAGGUGAAAUUCGUAGAUAUUCGGAAGAACACCAGUGGCGAAGGCGACUUACUGGACGAUUGUUGACGCUGAGGUGACGAAGCGUGGGGAGCAAACAGG